rnacentral:sRNA from 14 species
UUGGACUACGCUAAUAGUCUAAGUCCUUCGAGGGCUACGUUAUUUUGGUUAAGACACCUACGGAUACUCCUCAAGUCUGUAGCCCUGUC